rnacentral:siRNA from 1 species
ACCCAUGUGGGUGGCGAGCUG